CUCGGCGCCCGGGGCCGGCUGCGGGAAACGCUCGCACAGACAGAGACAGGCGCGCACCCGGGGGCGCACCCGGGGCCACACACGCCUCCCCAGGCGAUGGGGUCCAGGCGGCCCCGCCCGAAGGCUUCCGUCCGGCCAGCCCAUCCAGCCGCUGCCCCGCACCUGUCCCCGCCGCUCCGGACCCGCGGCCGCCCCCCGCGCACGCACACCGGGGACGGGACCCGGCGCCGCGACUCCCCACGCCCCGCAGGCGACGCCACCUUCGGCCGUAGCAGCCCGGGGUCCGAGGCAUCCCCCCUCGGAGCUGGCGCGGGACCCAGCGAACGGGCCCCGGGGCGGAGGGACGCUUCGGGACCCCACAGCCGCCGUGGGUCGGGCACCGGGGGCUCCAGGAGGCUCGCGGAGGGGUCGCCACUCACCAGCUGAAAAGCGCAGAGGACGACGAGCGCGCAGCGGCCGGAGCAGGAGCCCAUGGUGCCCGCCUAUACAGGAGGCCCCCGGGUGCCCCGCGCUCGGCCCCCGCCCCCGCUCCGCCCGCUCCCCACGCGCCGCAGCCUGGACCCCGCCCCCUCCGCAUCCCGUUCCCCCCUCCUCCCCGCAACCCCCGGCCCAGCCCCAGCCCCGGGUAACAGCUGCGCUGCGUCUCCCCUCCCACCCCCGCCUGCGGCCCCUGGGGGCUUCGCGCCGGCCGGAGAGGGGGACCGUUCUUAAAGGGGCGAUGGCGCGGCCUCUCGGGUAGCGAGGGGCGGCGCCGCGGCCCCAGGACAGACCUGCAGCUGAGGGGAGCCCGCCCUGGACGCGGCAGGGAUGACCGGCGUCCGCCCCCUCCUGCAGGAUGACCUGCCCAGCACCUGCUCCCGCCGUGCGCCCUCCGGCGUGAGAUCCCCAUCAACCUUCCCCGUGUGGGGUCUGAGCGACCCGCAUCCGCGAGGCGUUUUCUCUGAGAGUCUCAGAGAUUCCUUGGCUUGGAGAAGUCCUGGACCCGGGUCCAGAGCUCAGAGGUCCCCUCCACGGGCGGGCGGGCCGAGGACUCAGGAGGAGGGAGUGAGCCGGGCUCGCCCACCUCCCACAGGGAGCUCCUCUGCUGGAAGGCUGAGACCUGAAGGCCAGGUCUGCUCCAACUGCCUGGACCGGCCUCCUGCCUGCGCGGGAGGGGCCUAGGGAGCCUCGGGUUGGGACAGCCUGAGGCCUUGUGCACGGUGGAGGCAGGACCCAGCUGCCCAGGGCAGGUCCUGGGGUCUGGAUGGGGCUGAACCCCGUAAAGCCUGCGCUUCCGGAAGAAGCUUGCGCUGGAGGCAGGGAAGGGUCCCAGCCAGGCCCGAGAGGAGCAGGACGUGGAUACAGUGAGCCAGAGUGUCAGCCGGUCGGAAAGCCCAUGGGGGCAGAACAGCGGGAGAUCAGGGCAGGUGGCCGGGCCAGGGCUGCCACUUGGUCUUUACUCAGUGGCAGGGCAGGCUCCCUGACUGCCACCCACCGCCUGAGGAGCCUGAGAUGGGUUUCCCAUGGCAACCUGAAUUCCUGCCCCACUCGAGAUUUUAUGAAUUACUGAGGAUUCUUGCCUUCCUAAUUUUGGUUGUGUGUCCCACAGUCCCGGGGAUCAGGAGGGGUUAACAGAAGACCAAGGGUCAGGUUUUCUGCACUGCGGGGAGCCACCCCAGAUCUGUAGUCCAGGCUCAUGGGCGGGUGAGGGGGUAGCUUCCAAGCCCCAAAGGUUAGAGAGCAAAGGUGUGGCCAGUUGUGGAGGGAGGGGGAGCGUCAGGUUGUUUGCAGUGCUGGGGAGAUAAGAAUAUUCAGGAAUCAGAUGGUGGUGAUGGUUGCACAGCUCUGUGAAUAUACUGCAGCCCACUGAGCACUACACUGUAAAGGGGUGACUAUUAUGGUGUGAGGAUUAUAUCCCGAUUUUUAAAAGAUGUGAAAAAAUUAAUGUUUAUUUAUACGAUAUAUAAGACAUUGAUUUUUAAAUACAGCGGUACCAUCCCCGUCCCCCAUAACCCUGGUUCCUCCAGGCACUUGGAGCCAUUGGUGGAAGGACGUGGACUCCUAGAAGGUGAUUCGCAAAGGUGCCACGUAAGCAGAGGAGCCGGGUAAGCAGAGGCCCAGUGCCACGUAAGCAGAGGAAGGCCCGGAGCCGGCUGCUGAGGUCCUGAGGGAGAGGGAGGGGCACCUGCUCAGCCUUGCCUGUGUGUGUGGAUCCUUCUCUCUCAGGGGAAGCUGCCUGGACAUGCGUGCGCCUUGCAGUUCUGUCCUGCCAGGCUGCCUGCUCUUCCUCUUGAAAGCAAAAGACUUCACUUGCUGAGGAUGCAACGAUGCUCUAGUGUCCCUUGCAGGAGCCAGUGUCAGAGCCAGGAGCCGUCGUGGGCAUCCCCUGCUCCAAAGUUACGAGUUCUGGUGAAGGGGUCAGGACAGCCCCUUUGAGAGUUCAGCAGAGCAGGUCUGCACAGGUCCCACGCCGUGCACAGCCCACACUCCACCUGCCCUGGUGCACACUGACGGCAGCAGCCAGCCGCGGGGACCCCAGGCGCAGUGUUGCCUCGUGAACGUUAGAGCAGCCUCCAGAGGCGGGUUCGGUCUGCACACCUGGUUCGCGGGUGACACAGUUGUGACUUGGCCCAGGUCAGUUGUUGGGGCCUGGCCAGCUGUGGGUGGUGAGGUUUUCUCGGACGCUUCAUCUGCUCUCGUUCUUGUUCGAAUUCCUUCUGCCUAAGAAUGACAGCUUUAAAAGUGAAAUGGCAGCACGUCUCCAUCAUUACACAGAAUCCCAUGUGGGAAGACCCUAGUCGGAGGCCCCCACCCUUGCCCGGAACUGGACUUUGGGGCAGCAGCAAACUGCAGUGAGUGUGAGUCACACCUGAGGACAGGUGGGCUGUCUUCAGGCUCCCAACAGGUCUGUCGCUUAAGGGGCUGGGGAAUGGGGGCUGGAAUGCCACGGCCUGCCCACCUGGGGGACUCUGGGCAGAGCUGGAGCAGCCAGGCAGGAAAAUAUCCCCCAGUUUCCAGAGAGUAAAAGCUGAUGGUCCUGCUGAGGUGUGAAGGACAGUGACGGACAGUGAUGGAAGGUGAUGGACAGAGGAGGACAGUGAUGGACAGAGGAGGGCAGUGAUGGACAGUGACGGGCAGUGAUAGACAGCAACAGAGAGUGGAGGACAGUGAUGAACAGCAACAGACAGUGGAGGGCAGUGAUGGACAGUGGAGGACAGUGGAGGAUAGCAGAGGGCAGUGAUGGACAGUAAUGGACAGCAAAGGACAGUGAGGGACAGCAGAGGACAGUGAUGGACAGCGGAGGACAGUGAUGGGCAGCGGAGGACAGUGAUGGACAGUGGAGGACAGUGAUGGAGAGCAGAGGACAGUGAUGGACAAUGGAGGACAGUGGAGGACAGUGAUGGACAGUGGAGGACAGUGAUGGACAGCGGAGGACAGUGAUGGCGAGCGGAGGACAGUGAUGGAGAGCGGAGGACAGUGAUGGACAGCGGAGGACAGUGAUGGCGAGCGGAGGACAGUGAUGGACAGCGGAGGACAGUGAUGGACAGCGGAGGACAGUGAUGGACAGCGGAGGACAGUGAUGGAGAACGGAGGACAGUGAUGGACAGCGGAGGACAGUGAUGGACAGAGGAGGACAGUGAUGGAGAGUGGAGGACAGUGAUGGACAGCGGAGGACAGUGAUGGACAGUGGAGGACAGUGAUGGAGAACGGAGGACAGCGAUGGACAGCGGAGGACAGCGAUGGACAGCGGAUGACAGUGGAGGACAGCGGAUGACAGUGGAGGACAGUGGAGGACAGCGAUGGACAGUGGAGGACAGUGAUGGACAGCGGAGGACAGUGAUGGACAGUAAUGGACAGUGAUGGACAGCGGAGGACAGUGAUGGACAGCGGAGGACAGCGAUGGACAGUGGAGGACAGUGAUGGACAGUGGAGGACAGUGAUGGACAGAGGAGGACAGUGAAAGACAGAGAAGGACAGCAAUGGAAGGACAGCCACCCCAGUCAGCACAAACGCAGGCCGAGUGGGGCCCAUGCAUUCCUGGGAGGACUGGCAAGCUGGGAAAGGCCUCCAGGGCAGGGAAACUCAGGAGAGUGACAGCUUGUUCAGGCCAGGACCUUGUGCAUCUUCUCCUUUUUUCUUUCUUAGUAAACCCAGUGUAUUCAUUUUUAGCGGCUGCCAUAACAAAUUCCCAUAAACUAGCGGCUUGAAGCCACGGAAGUUUAUUACGUCACAGUUGUGGAGGCUAGACAUCUAACAUCCAGGUAUGGGCAGGGUUGCACUGCCUUCGAAGCUCUGGGGAGGGUCCUUCCUGCCCCUCCCAGCUCCUGUGGCUCCCAGCGUCCUUAGCCUGUGGGCGUUAUCGCUCUGGUCUUUGCCUCCACCUUUGCGUGACCUCCUCCUCUCCUGUGUGUCACUUGCUAUGAUGCUUGUGAUGCCAUUUAGGGCCCACCUAUGUAAUCCAGCAUGCUCUCAUGUCAAGAUCCCUAAUCACAUCUGCAAAGAACCUUGCCCCAAACUCCUGGCUUCAAGCAAUUCUCCUGCCUUGGCCUCCCAACAUGCUGGGUUUGCAGGUGUGAGCCACUGUGCCAGGCCUAGAUUUGGGGGCCACCAUUCAGUCGCUGCUCUCCCACACCUGCAGCAGCCCCAGCCCGCCCGCAGGGCAGACCUUCCUUGUGGCAGAGACAACAGGAAAAGGAAAGGAAGAGGAACCCAGGCCUGGGUUCCCGGCAGAGCUGUCCGCAGAGCCUGUGCGGGGCUGCAAAGGCCCCUCUGUUGUCACAACACCCCUGUCCCCGUUUCAGAUGAAACCGGGAGAACUUUCAACUGCAACAAACACUCCUGGAAAAGGAGAGGCCAAUCCCCAUGGCUCCACAGAGAGCACAGCCAGACCCCUUCAUCCAGGCCCACAGGCAAUGUUGUCGACUCUGUUCUUCCUUUGAAAAAAAAGGGUGCUGGUUGGUUUCCAGUUUACUGCAGACACACAGAGAGGCCCCUCUCUGGCUCAGAGCCUGGCCCGGGUCUCUCCAGUCCCAGCUUCUCCCUCCCGAAAGGAACGUCCUGCCCAACAAUGCAACACGUGUGUGCACUCCCAGUGUGGGAAUCAGGCUGAGCUGGACUUCAGGGGCAGCCCAGGAUGCUUGCCUCGGGUGGGGCGUUUUCCCAGAGGUUUCUUGGGAGCUGCCUGGGAGUUGCCGCAGCUUCUUCCCAGCUGGCUUCAGCCCAGGCUUCCUGGGUGAGAUUCUUGUUCCCUGGCCCCUCACGGUACGCGUGGUCCUGUUCCCCGCAAUCCCCCACCCCCUUGAACUCCGUUCCCACACUCAGGACCCACCCAGAUGCCAGCUCCCCGCAGAGCAGUGCAGCCCCCCACUUCCAGCCCUGACGGCACACACCCUGCCCCCCACCACCAUUUUGGAAUUGUUCUUCGCCAGAAAUACCGUUUCCCACCCUGUCUUCUUAUUCUCGGAGGCAGAGGCACUUCAGCUUCCUGGGCCGUCUGUCACUGAGUCACCCUGGUUUCCAUUGGCAGUGCCGCCUCUCCCUCACUCGGAUGCUUCUGUGCAGCCACACGGGCUGUGUGUGCAACCUCAGGGGACGCAUCAACCACGUCCUCGGGCUGGCCGUAGAGACAUGGCCUCCGCCUGAGUGUGGCCGUCAGACUCUCCCUGGUACUAUAAGCCCUCGGCUGAGGGGGCAGAGGGGCAGCUAGGAUCAUGGCCGCAGCUCCCAGAGGGGAGCCCCCAUCCUCCAGGCCGUCUUACCGAGCCUGCUCCCCAGCCUGCGCCUUUCCUGACUUCCCUCCAGGCUCCUGUUGCUGGCGACCACAGAACCAGCCUCAGGGCUUUCCUGUCCUUCCUGUCAGGGGUCCUUUCCCAGUGGGAGCUCUGGGCGGGUGGGCCUGUCCCAGGAGAGUCACGUAGCUUGUUUAAGGAGAAGAUCCCCAUGGCUCUUGUGUGCACAUGUGGGGCCUCUCUCCCCAGGGGCUGCUGUGAGCCUGGGAAGUCCCAGGUGGUGUCUCAUGCCCCAGAGAGUAGCCCCCUGUGCACCUCGCACACGCCCUCCUGCGGGUCUGCUGACUUUCUCCUCUGCCUCAGCCAAGUCUCCCACGCGGAGCAGGUGGGAACUGAAUGAAGGCCUCACAGGAUUCUGAGUCCCCGGUCUGACACCCACCUGGCUCAGCACCUGCCUCCUCAGCUUCCAGUUGCACGGGUGGCCGCAGGCGUCAGGGUGUGACGGCGAGCGUGGCCAGUCCGGUCAGAGGUCUCUGCAUCCUCCACACCUCUGGCCAGGUGAGACCCAGCCUGUGUCUCUCCCAGCUCUACUGACGGACGGCAGGAAGCUGAGACCCCGAGCCCGUGUGUCCUCGGUUCUUGGUGCUUUGCAAUGCCCCUGGCCCUGGCUGCAGCCGCCCCCUGGCUGGGCCCCGAGCCUGUCUGCCCUGCAACACUCACCCUUCAUGAAGAGGGAGCCUCAGCCGAGAGGAGAGCAAAUAAGUGUAAGGGGAGAGGGUGCUUCCUGAGACACGCGGUGGGCCCAGGGCUCCUGCCUUGGCCAUUCCGUCCAUCUGUGGGAGGGCCUUGGCCUCUCUGCUUUUGGAGCAGGGCGCUGGGGCUAGGGGAUUGCAGCCACAGCCACUCUACUGCACUGGUUGGGAGCUCGGAUCACCUGGGUGCAGAGGAAGCUUUGACGGCAAGGGUUGGUGUGGCUCAUCUCGCCCACCCCACAGCCAUCGCCGCCCCGCAGACACCUCUGGAUCCCGGCCUGCCGUCCCUCCUCCCGAGCCUACAUUAGGCUCCAUCCUUCCCCAGGCCCCAUGCCACCAGCAAGAACAGCCCAGCCAAUGCAGACUGCACCCCUCGGCCUCGGCCGGGACCGAGCACACUGCCCUGUGUGCUCUCCCUGGCCCCUGAGGCAGGUGGCCUGACCCCUGUCUUCAGAGGGGAAAGCUGAGUCUCGGGAAGGCCACACAGCCGAGGAGUGGGGGCAGAAAGAACCCAGCUCUGCGUCAGGCUGUGUCAAGCCGACAUUUAGUGCCUAGCAGCAGCCACGGCCUCUGCAGGGCUUCCUGGAGCAGGUGUGGGCUCUUCCAGCACAGAGCAUGGGCUGCACCAGCUUCGGGGUGCACCGCGUACAGGUUAGGGCUGUGGCUGUGGCUGCUGGCUGACACCAGGAGUAAACGUGGACACCAGACCAGCGCAGCCUAGACCCAGCUGGGUGGCAGGUGCUGCCAGUGCGUCUCGAGGGGGCAGCAGGGUCAGCUGCAGAUGAGGCUGCCCCAGGACUGGCUGCCAGCCCUCAAAGAGCCCCCUGGGUCCCCCCGGCACAACUCUCUGCAUGAAGCCCCCAGCAGGAGAAGGGCUCACUGCCCUGAGCCCGACACAGUACGAGACGGAGGCCUCACUGAGUCCAGGCCCCGCACUGGCCCUCCCCUGGAUCCUGAGUCCAGGCCCCAAGCCAGCCCCUCCCCUGGAUCUCCCCAGACCCUCUCUGUGGGAACCCAGGGGCUGGAGCCGCUCGACUACAUCUUGGUAGCUCUCAUUUGGGACCUCAUCUUUAAUCUCAGCAACUCAGGGAUCAAAGAGAAAAGGCCGAGGCAGGCGAGGCCAGGGUUUCUUGCUCAAGCAUUCGGAUCAUUAAACAAACGAAAAAAAUCAAAGAGAA
ensembl:lncRNA FLJ16779 uncharacterized LOC100192386